rnacentral:lncRNA from 1 species
GCCUUUGGAGGGAGCUGUGAAUGGGGAAGGUCUCUGGUGGUAGUGGGCAGCACUUUGCUGAAGGUGGUCUUUGCCUCCUGGAGAGUUGUGGGCAGGCACACAGAAGAGGGAGAUAAGUCUAAUUGGAUAUGGCACCACGGGAAAGAGUUAAAUGAAGAAAGCUCAGGCUGAAGAAGGUAAAUGAGCCAUGUGAGAGUUUGUGUGUCCAGAGCCUAAGCAACUCCAUUUUAAAACCCCAGUUUGAAACCUGCAGUCUCACCAGGCACUCCUAAUGGGCCCUCCAGUAUGGCCCUCAGGCACAAAUAAGUCACUUCUUCUCACUCUGGUAAACUCAGUGUGAAUCCUCUGGCAUGUUGUCUUCCCCCUGAUAAAGGGGGAAAGGCGAAAAGAUCAGGGUGGGACCACCAGACCAGAUGUUU